CCAAACAGAGAAGGAAAAGUUUGCAAAUGAACUGAAAGAGAUGAAUAGGAGUAUUGAGCAGGUGAAGGAAGAAAAAGAAAAUUUGACCAGUGAACUUCAAAGAACAAAGAACAUUAUGGAUGAGGGAGAG